rnacentral:rRNA from 1 species
AACGAACGCUGGCGGCAUGCCUAACACAUGCAAGUCGAACGAGACCUUCGGGUCUAGUGGCGCACGGGUGCGUAACGCGUGGGAACCUGCCGUUAGGUUCGGAAUAACUCCCCGACAGGGGUGCUAAUACAGGAUAAUGUCCUCGGACCAAAGAUUUAUCGCCUUUGGAUGGGCCCGCGUUGGAUUAGCUAGUUGGUAGGGUAAAAGCCUACCAAGGCGACGAUCCAUAGCUGGUCUGAGAGGAUGAUCAGCCACACUGGGACUGAGACACGGCCCAGACUCCUACGGGAGGCAGCAGUGGGGAAUAUUGGACAAUGGGCGAAAGCCUGAUCCAGCAAUGCCGCGUGAGUGAUGAAGGCCUUAGGGUUGUAAAGCUCUUUUACCCGGGAUGAUAAUGACAGUACCGGGAGAAUAAGCUCCGGCUAACUCCGUG